ACAACGACGCACGCUUACGCAAUCCGCCGUGUCUUGUGGGGGCCGCGUGUUUAUUUGCAGCUCGUCGACCUGUUAAGUGUUCCUUUCAUCAACCCGCGAAAGUAAACUCUUCUCGUCAUAAAAAUCGUAAUAUCAAAGUGUUCUCGAUAAACUCGAUAAACGAAGGAACAACAACAAUAAAUCUAAUCGAACAUGAUAAAUUAUCUUGAACAAACUGACAUUGAACAGGUAUCUGUCAUUAAAUGGUCUAAAAAGCGUGCCAAACAAUGGUUUGAAAAUUGUUACUCGAAUGUAAUCAAGGAUGAGACCACCGUGAAGCUUCGCUCCGAGUCUGGCAUAAAACGCGAGGACAGAAAACAGAGAGAGGAAAGUAAAGGCGCGCGUUUCGUCGUGACCCAAUCUUGUCUCAUUUAGACUGAGUGGAGUGGACUCAUCCAAUUUGGACUACUCAGCGAACCUGAAUUUCGCUACGAACGUCGAAACUCUGACGGCAAGCGAUGCACCUCUCGUCUACACGUAUCGUGACACAAAUCCUUCUUAAGAAAAUCAUCAUUCAAUUUGUUUAAAUCCUAACACACGCACA
rnacentral:misc_RNA from 1 species